UCUAGGACAGACACAUGGGGGUCUGGCCUGCCCUCCUGGGGUCCCAGUGGGCACUGGGAGGCAUCGUAGAUGCCCCAGAGCCAGGACUGUGUUCUGGGGGGGGGGGGGCAGUUCUUGGGAUCAGUCUCGGGACAGGGCUGCUGGAGGGUAGGGGAUGGUGGGCCUGGCGGGAGGCGGGGACCGCCCUGGGGCCGAACCUGGGCUUUAGCCUGCACAUGGUGCCGGCUCUGGAAGGACUGAUUACAGCCUCUUUGGCAGCCCGAGUGCCCAGAAGCCAAGGGCUCCAGCGUGCCACCUCCCUCCUGUCGAGCUCCAGGACCGCCAAGUCUCCUGCACUUUUGCAUGAGCUUAUCCAUAAGGCUGGUCUGGUCCCCCCACCAUGUGUGCCAACACUUAGUCGCAGCUGACAAGAGGAAUAGCACCGUCCCAUCCGCUGGAUGCACUGAGGGGUUUUUCUCACUUUUGCAGACUUCCUGAUCCAUCCGCACACCGUGUGUGGAGACUAGACAGAGGCUGGGUGCACUUCGGCCAAGGCCGGCUACUGGGGUCUUGGCUGCUGGCAACGCACGGUUACCCCCUUCCUGGUGGGGCUUCCCUGGCUGAAGGGCAUCCUCUCCCAGACAGGCCAGGAAGGUUGAGCCAGGCGCUCUCAAGACAGGCAAAAGCAAGGAGGUGGCCUCGGACGGUGUCGCGAACGUUUACCUUUGGAAUGAGCUGCUUUUGUUUGAUACCUUUACUUUUCCUGUCAAAAUAUUAAAAAUGGUUUCGUGAAUAGA